GCCUGGCUGGCUCAAUUGGUAGAGCAUAUGACUUUUGAUCUUAGGGUUGUGAGUUCAAGCCCCACAUUGGGUG